UACAGAGGGUGCAAGCGUUAAUCGGAGUUACUGGGCGUAAAGGGCGCGUAGGCGGUCAUGCAAGUGAGAUGUGAAAUCCCCGGGCUUAACCUGGGAACUGCAUUUUAGACUGUGUGACUGGAGUACUGUAGAGGAUAGUGGAAUUCCCAGUGUAGAGGUGAAAUUCGUAGAUAUUGGGAAGAACACCGGUGGCGAAGGCGGCUAUCUGGACCGACAUUGACGCUGAGGCGCGAAAGCGUGGGGAGCAAACAGG
rnacentral:rRNA from 1 species